rnacentral:rRNA from 1 species
UAGAAAUUUAUAAAUUAGGUAGUAAAGAAAUUUCUGAAACCUAAAGAAUAUGGCGGUGUUUUAAAUAAUUGGAGGAACCUGUUAUAUAAUUGAUAAUCCACAACAAAUCUCUCCUAAUUUUUGUUUGUAUAUCGUCGUUAUAGAUAUUAUUUAAAAGUAAUAUCAAUGUCAAUUAAAUUUUAUAAAUCAGAUCAAGAUGCAGCAUAUUUAGGAAAUAAUGGGUUACAAUAUUUUUUAAAUAUUUAUGGAUAUGGAAUAGAAAGUGAAAUUGAAGGAGGAUUCAAAAGUAAUAAAAAAUUAAUAUGUUUUUUUGACUAAUAAUUUAAAACAUGC